AGUCGAGGGGUAUUUAUCUUCGGAUAGAGAGACCGGCGCACGGGUGCGUAACGCGUAUGCAAUCUACCUUUUACAGAGGGAUAGCCCAGAGAAAUUUGGAUUAAUACCUCAUAGUAUUAUGAAAUGGCAUCAUUUUAUAAUUAAAGUCACAACGGUAAAAGAUGAGCAUGCGUCCCAUUAGCUAGUUGGUAAGGUAACGGCUUACCAAGGCUACGAUGGGUAGGGGUCCUGAGAGGGAGAUCCCCCACACUGGUACUGAGACACGGACCAGACUCCUACGGGAGGCAGCAGUGAGGAAUAUUGGACAAUGGGCGCAAGCCUGAUCCAGCCAUGCCGCGUGCAGGAUGACGGUCCUAUGGAUUGUAAACUGCUUUUAUACGAGAAGAAACACUCCAACGUGUUGGAGCUUGACGGUAUCGUAAGAAUAAGGAUCGGCUAACUCCGUGCCAGCAGCCGCGGUAAUACGGAGGAUCCAAGCGUUAUCCGGAAUCAUUGGGUUUAAAGGGUCCGUAGGCGGUUUAGUAAGUCAGUGGUGAAAGCCCAUCGCUCAACGGUGGAACGGCCAUUGAUACUGCUGAACUUGAAUUAUUAGGAAGUAACUAGAAUAUGUAGUGUAGCGGUGAAAUGCUUAGAGAUUACAUGGAAUACCAAUUGCGAAGGCAGGUUACUACUAAUGGAUUGACGCUGAUGGACGAAAGCGUGGGUAGCGAACAGGAUUGGAUACCCUGGUAGUCCACGCCGUAAACGAUGGAUACUAGCUGUUGGGAGCAAUCUCAGUGGCUAAGCGAAAGUGAUAAGUAUCCCACCUGGGGAGUACGUUCGCAAGAAUGAAAC
rnacentral:rRNA from 1 species